GGAAUAUUGCACAAUGGGCGCAAGCCUGAUGCAGCGACGACGCGUGAGUGAUGAAGUAUUUCGGUACGUAAAGCUCUAUCAGCAGGGAAGAUAAUGACGGUACCUGACUAAGAAGCCCCGGCUAACUACGUGCCAGCAGCCGCGGUAAUACGUAGGGGGCAAGCGUUAUCCGGAUUUACUGGGUGUAAAGGGAGCGUAGGUGGUAGGGCAAGCCAGAAGUGAAAAUCCGGGGCUCAACUCUGGAACUGCUUUUGGAACUGUCCUACUUGAGUGCAGGAGAGGUAAGCGGAAUUCCUAGUGUAGCGGUGAAAUGCGUAGAUAUUAGGAGGAACACCGGUGGCGAAGGCGGCUUACUGGACUGUAACUGACACUGAGGCUCGAAAGCGUGGGUAGCAAACA
rnacentral:rRNA from 1 species